CCUAUGACACCUUUUGAGGCAAACAGCCUGUUGGAGGAUGAAAUAGGAUCUGGAUAAAUGUCCUGGCUACUGACAUUACUGAUGAAAUAGUAAGGCCCCUGCAGCCUGCUUUCUGUAUCAUCAUGACCCAAGGUGAGCAUCAGUGAGGGACCUUACUCAGUAGAGGGGUUUAACUACAUGUGUUGGGAGCUUUAAAAGGUACCAUACCUCCAUCAAGUGCCUCUAGAGGCCAUGAUCUAAUGGUAGGCAAGUUGGAGCAGGGUGAAAAGGUGAAGAUCAUCUAUGAGUUUAGCCUGGUAGGUGAAGACUAGAAGAACAGUGGAGCUUCCAGGUGGCACCAUGGAAUCUUCCAUGUCUAAACUGGGAGUGGUCCUAGCAAAUUGUCGUGGAAGAGUCCACAGGCUGAUCUAGCAGUUCUAGCAGUUUAUAGCUCCUGCAUCAGAAGGAAGCUUGGAAGACGUUUUUCAGCAUAUCCAUGAACAACCAUGUCAGGAAGAGGGGAUUUAUCCUUUGAUUGAAUGGGAUCCACCCUAGACCUCUCACUGUUAGGGAAACCUUUGUGUUCUCAGAGUAUUUUGGGUGAAGAUACAUGUUUUGCAGCC